rnacentral:lncRNA from 1 species
CGGGAAGGAGGGGUUUGAAUCUGCCGCGGUUUCCGUCGGUUGGUCGCAUUAAUGUCGCGCUUGUCUUCAGUUUGAGGUGGAAGAUUCAGAUGGAUUAGUUGGAGAUUGUGAUUAGUUUUGGAUGAGAGGUGAUUACUGAUUUUAUUUUGAAGGAUGGUUUAAAUGUUUUUUACCUAGUAUUGUGGUAUAUGUGCAUUUUUGUAUAAAAAAAGGGUUUGUUUAUAGAGAGG